CAGUAGCCGGGGAAUACGUAGGGCGCAAGCGUUGUCCGGAAUUAUUGGGCGUAAAGAGCUCGUAGGCGGUCUGUCGCGUCUGGUGUGAAAUCCCGAGGCUCAACCUCGGGCUUGCAUCGGGUACGGGCAGACUAGAGUGCGGUAGGGGAGACUGGAAUUCCUGGUGUAGCGGUGGAAUGCGCAGAUAUCAGGAGGAACACCGAUGGCGAAGGCAGGUCUCUGGGCCGCAACUGACGCUGAGGAGCGAAAGCAUGGGGAGCGAACAGGAUUAGAUACCCCUGUAGUCCCUGUCUCUUAUACA
rnacentral:rRNA from 1 species